rnacentral:rRNA from 1 species
CAGUAGCCGGGGAAUACAGAGGGUGCAAGCGUUAAUCGGAAUUACUGGGCGUAAAGCGCGCGUAGGUGGUUUGUUAAGUUGGAUGUGAAAGCCCCGGGCUCAACCUGGGAACUGCAUCCAAAACUGGCAAGCUAGAGUACGGUAGAGGGUGGUGGAAUUUCCUGUGUAGCGGUGAAAUGCGUAGAUAUAGGAAGGAACACCAGUGGCGAAGGCGACCACCUGGACUGAUACUGACACUGAGGUGCGAAAGCGUGGGGAGCAAACAGGAUUAGAUACCCGAGUAGUCCCUGUCUCUUAUACA